CGAGGCAUUUAUAUUUAUUUCUUUUGCGUUCAUUUUCAAAUUCGCCGUGCAUAUAUUUUUGUGCAUGGCGCUUGAGAGGGAAUCACGUGACUAAAAACGACCAACCAACGACCUCGCUUCGGCCAUCUUGGCAUCUUCAUCUUGGCGACCUUGCCGUUGCCCGGCCUUGCCUUGCCGUGGAUUGUUGUUUGUAUUUUGUAUUAUUUGUGCUUUUUAAGAAUAUUUUUUUAAUUCGGAUACUUUUAUAAUAGCUUUAAUAGUAUUAUUAACAUAGUGCAUAAAAUGGUGUCCUGUUUUUAACGCAGUUGGAGUAGCAGAAACAAAUGUAGAUAAAAAAAUCUGCAGGAAUAACGUUUCAAUUAUGACAGAAGCUCAAAACAAAUGACUGUGAAUGAAAAGCCCUAUUAAAAGCUUUCCAGAAGAUCCUGCGAAGAAGACAAGAAAGUAUAGAUUAGAUUUGUUAAUAGAGGAGUAUGUUCAAAACACUUUUUAGAAAAAGAUAUUGACAGAACUUCACUUUCAUCUGUUCGUUUGAGAGACUGUGCUGUUCCAAUAGCUUAUGUCACACAGAAUCAGCUGAGAGAAGUGGUCUACAAAAAACCAGAAAGGAAACGGAAUAUGUGGCUACGAAAAGCAAAAGAAAGGUUUACAAAGCAAAUGUGACACAUUUUUUAAUAAUAUUUAGGAAUGUCAGCAAAUUACAUUAAAAAAUGUAUGUAAAGAUUUUUUGCAAUAAAAAUGUUUAUAUUUA